AGGGCACUCAUUUGGUGCUGCUGGAGGUUUGGAAGCUAUUGCCACGGUGAAAGCAAUUCAAAGAGGGUGGUUGCAUCCUUCCAUUAAUCAAUUUAAUCUGGAGCCUUUAGUUGAUUUAGACACCGUCACAAACAUAAAGCAACAACACGCGGUGAAUGUUGCUAUCUCAAAUUCAUUUGGAUUUGGUGGACACAACUCGGUCGUGACGUUCACUGCAUUCAAACCAUAAACCUGUUAAUCUCACGAACGAUGAUGUUCGGUUCAUAUUCUUAUUAAGAAUUCCAUAAAAAUGUUAAAAUAGUGAAUAAGAAGUCGAUCGUUUUGCCAAUUUAGAUUACCAUAGAAGUCUG